GAUGAACGCUGGCGGCGUGCCUAAUACAUGCAAGUCGAGCGAACAGAUGAGGAGCUUGCUCCUCUGACGUUAGCGGCGGACGGGUGAGUAACACGUGGAUAACCUACCUAUAAGACUGGGAUAACUUCGGGAAACCGGAGCUAAUACCGGAUAAUAUAUUGAACCGCAUGGUUCAAUAGUGAAAGACGGUUUUGCUGUCACUUAUAGAUGGAUCCGCGCCGCAUUAGCUAGUUGGUAAGGUAACGGCUUACCAAGGCAACGAUGCGUAGCCGACCUGAGAGGGUGAUCGGCCACACUGGAACUGAGAAACGGUCAAGAAUCCUAAGGGAGGCAGCAGUAGGGAAUCUUCCGCAAUGGGCGAAAGCCUGACGGAGCAACGCCGCGUGAGUGAUGAAGGUCUUCGGAUCGUAAAACUCUGUUAUUAGGGAAGAACAAAUGUGUAAGUAACUAUGCACGUCUUGACGGUACCUAAUCAGAAAGCCACGGCUAACUACGUG
rnacentral:rRNA from 1 species